rnacentral:rRNA from 1 species
AGUGAACGCUGGCGGUAGGCCUAACACAUGCAAGUCGAGGGGCAGCACAGUAAUAGCUUGCUAUUACGGGUGGCGAGUGGCGGACGGGUGAGGAAUACGUCGGAAUCUACUUUUUCGUUGGUGGGAACGCAGGUGAACGUACGCUAAUACCGAAUAGGACUUACGGGUUAAAAUAUUGGAUCUUCUGAACUUGUUCGAGUGAAUGAUGCGAUGGCGGCUUAGUUUGUUGUCGGGGGAAAGGCCCACCAAGGCGACGAUCCGUAGCUGGUCUGAUAGGAUGAUCAGCCCCACUGCAACUGAGACACGGUCCAGACUCCUACGCGAGGCAGCAGUGGGGAAUAUUAGACAAUGCGAGGAAGCAUGGUCCAGCCCUACCGAGUGGGUGAAAAAGGCCUUCGCGUUGUAAAGCCCUUUUUUUGGGAAAGAAAAGCAGCAGGUUAAAUCCACGCUGUUCUGACGGUACCCUAAGAAUAAGCACCGGCUAACUUCGUG